rnacentral:rRNA from 1 species
AACUGCCAGAAUUCCCUGCAGUUCUCGCCUGGUUUCCCACUGAAGCUAAGCUGGGUUGAGCCUGGCCAGUACCUGGGUGGGAGACCUCCUGAGGAAAACCAAGGUUGCAGCUG